GUCCACGCCGUAAACGAUGAUGGCUGGAUGUUGGCGAUACACCGUCAGCGUCUGAGGGAAACCAUUAAGCCAUCCACCUGGGGAGUACGGCCGCAAGGCUGAAACUCAAAGGAAUUGACGGGGGCCCGCACAAGCGGAGGAACAUGUGGUUUAAUUCGAUGAUACGCGAGGAACCUUACCCGGGCUAGAACGCAGUUGGAAUCAGGCCGAAAGGUUUGAGCCAGCAAUGGCCGGCUGCGAGGUGCUGCAUGGUUGUCGU
rnacentral:rRNA from 1 species